rnacentral:lncRNA from 1 species
AGAAGCAGGAAAAAAGGGCCAACGUUUAGAAUUUGAAAAGCAGUGUUUGAAUGCACUUGUUACCUGGUAAACCAGUCAUUUACUGCUAUCUUACAAAUGACCACAGCACAUGGUAGACUUAAAGAACAAUUAUUUGCACAUUUCUCAAUUUUGUGGGUCAGAAACUGGCAGCACUCAGCUGAGAGACUCUUCUGUUUUACGGGGAUUCACAGCGUUCACUCAGAGACAGAUAGCUGGUGGGCAGGCCGGUGUCAGGGACCAAGGAUGGCAUCACUCGUGUGUCUGGCCCUUGACAGGGAUGCUGGAGGUCUGGGCUCACCUGGGAAUGGAGAUGGCAACACCUACAUGUGACCUUUCCAGCAUGGCAGUCUCAGAGUGGAUAUGGCAACAGCUGCACAUGAACUCUCCGGCAUGGCAGUCUCAGAGUGGAUAUGGCAACAGCUGCACAUGACCUCUCCGGCAUGGCAGUCUCAGAGUGGAUAUGGCAACACCUGCACACGACCUCUCCGGCAUGGCAGUCUCAGAGUGGAUAUGGCAACACCUACACACGACCUCUCCAGCAUGGCAGUCUCAGAGUGGAUAUGGCAACAGCUACACAUGACCUCACCGGCAUGGCAGUCUCAGAGUGGAUAUGGCAACAGCUACACAUGACCUCACCAGCAUGGCAGUCUCAGGUUACUGGUACUUCUUAGGUCUCAGCUGAGGACUCCAGUGCAGGUGUUGCAAGACAGCAGACGUAGCACUGCUUAUGUGUAUCCUGAAGUCCCAUGUGUAUCCUGAAGUCCCAGAAAGCUGCUUCAAGUAGAUUCCAGUGGAGAAGGGAGUCACCAAGGCUGGACAGUCAUUUAUCCAUGGCAGGACUAGCAAAAAAAUCUGCACCAUCUCUCAUCGCACACACGUGGGCUUUUCUUCAGACACUUACCAUCACCAGGCGUAAUGUGAAUGUGUUUGUUCAUUGCAUGUCUUCUCCACGUGAAUGGAAACUUCAUGACAAGAAUGUGUUCCAGGGCUGGGCGCCGCGGCUCACGUCUGGAAUCCCAGCACAUUGGGAGGCCGAGGCGGGCGGAUCACAAGGCGCAGUCAACAGCAGUGGAAGAGCUGGCUCAUGUGUGGCUCAGGCUGACUCCACAAUCAGAGUGAUUAUGUGGAAAUCAAUCAGAAUUUUCUUCUUAGAAGAUGUUUGUUCUGACAUAAUGACUGACUUUCCAGCUAAUUUUUAUUCAUAGGCUUCUCCUUGCACAAUGAUCUCUAUUUCUCUCAAUGUUAUUCUGUGUCUUUCUUGCUUGCCUGCACAUUCUGAAAAAAAAAGGAAAGCAAUUCCCUACAUUUUAUUUUGAUACUUAAUGUUGUUUGCUAACAUAUUCAGAACACAAUGCAACUUUAUAUAUUAGAGCACUUAUAAUAUAUAUUAGGAAAACAUCAAUUAGGUACCACCAGUUAUUUUAGACAGGUAUCUCUUAGGUAAAAUGUGGUGAAAAUAGAGGGGCAAUGAUAGAAUUCAUAUGUGAAAGAGUCAAUUGGCCAUCAUUAUGCCAAAAUUAUUUUGUGGUUCAGGGGACAUUUUAAACUUUAAUUUUUAAGAAUUAAACUUUAAUUAAAUUUAUUGUAGUUUAAAUGCAAUCACAAGGAAAGACUCUGAACUGGAAACACCAAGCCAAGCUCUUUCCUAGUUCUGGUCCCCUAUAAACCCUGAAAGUUAAUGCAAUUAUUGUAAUUUUUAAACCACCGAGUUCUCAGGGUGAUUAGUUAUGCAGCAAUAGAUAGCCUGAAAAGGACCAUUCUUUCUGGCACUGAAAAUUAAGAAGAGUGAUUAACAACAUAAGAAUGUAGUUUGUGCUGUCUGCCACAGAUUUAUGUUGUAGCUUCAGUGAUUGCUUCAAAGCACCCUUACUAAUUGCCAGCCUAUUGCUGAUACCUAGCUAAAUUAGCAUGUGUUAGUUUUGAUACCACUAUAGGCAUUUAAAGGAUAGCUGAUACAUUCUAUAUAAAAUAUAAUUAUUUUCCUAUCUUUAGUUUAUCCUAAAGUAGCAGCUAUUAUAUUCGCUUCUUGAUUAGCUUUAUACAUAACCAGAGAAAGUAAAAUAUCACAGAGUAUAUUUGAAGACAUAAAAGUCUUUGGACAAAGCUCAAGUAAUGAAUCAGGAUGCUAUUACAUCCUCCACAUGACAGUAAAUAUAUUUUAUAUUCCUAAAUUUUAAGCUUUUAACAAAAGCAAAUUUUAUACUGGACUAUUUCAAUUUCUAGGGAAAGGAAAUUAUCAUUUACUGUCUUUGAGGCUAUAAUCUAUUUAGCCAUUAUUUUUAUAUUGAUCAAUUUAUAAUAAAGGUAAGAGAAAAUACUACCACAUAUAUGUUGUUUAUAUAAUUUUAACUUUCAUAAUUAAAAUACUGGGUAUACUGCAAGAUGUCAAUAUUUAUAAUAGCUUAUAUUUGGAAACAAUUAUACUUUAUAUACUCCUAAUCCAUUGCCUUGUGUGUCAUUGAAGAAAUUGAAGUUCACAAUAAUGACUGAACAAAUGCUCAAAGCUGGUCUGUGGCAGAACCAAAAAUUUCCAUGGCACCUUUCUCUUUCCAUAUUGGGGUGAUCUGCCUAAUUUGACUUUCUGCUUAUAUGUCUAGACUCUACCCCUCAUUCCUUCUGCUAGUGUGUUGUUGAACCCUUUCUAUUAACCCACUCUCGAUUUUUCUGUUGCACAAUCAAUCUGUAGCCUGAAUGUUGAGUCCCAAAUGCAUGAGCUACCUGGCCGAGUAAUCUAACUAGAUUAGCCUGAGUAUAUCACUUUAAGGCCAAUGUAAAGUUAUGUUGUAACUACCUCAUAGUUUUGCAGAGGCAAGAAAUAGAAGUUAAGGAAGAGAAGAAGCCAAUCUUGAAUCAGUUAGAAUUUCCUUGGACAUAGAAAAUCUCUACAAGCAAAAACCCAUUUGAUUGAACAAGCAAGCUUAUGCAGUUAAAUAUAUCAAAGAUCUUGUCACAAAAAGUGUAAAGGGAAAGUAAAAUAAGGAGGGAGCAUGAAGAAGCCAGCUUAUAUUAAAGAUUCAAAGCAGGGAUAUAAGGAAAUUCAAGCCAAAAAUAAGGAAGAAUUCUUAUAAAUGCCCCAAGAAUGAAUUCGAUGUUUGGUCGAUAUUCCAACAGAUUUAGUAAUGCUAUUUUUAAAGUCAACAGGCUGCCCAUUUUUGCCUCACACUCUGACUGCAUGUAAUCUGUCAAGUACUCUGAUGAGUUCUGGAGAUGCUAAUGCAAAAAAGAUAUAAAAUCCUUACCUUGAAAAUGUAGUUCACAAUUUAGCCAUGGAGUUAUGGCAAGCAUCUUGUCUUCAAUUUUAGCCCCUCCUCCAUCCCUCUCCCAGACACCCAUUGUCCUCUUUCUCACCACAUCCACCCCCUUUUUUGUCCUGUCUUUGGUGCACUAUUUAUAAUUCUUCUCAUGUCUACCACAACUAUUUUGGGUAGUAAGAACAUCAGUAUGGAGACCCCUUAAUCCUAACUAAUAUCAACUCUAUCUGUUUGGUAUUAAUUCUUGUUUAUUGAACUUGAGGCAUUGAGUACUACAAAAAUUAUAAUACACUACUGGUGAACAUUACUUUAUUAAUGAUUAGGUUCCACUUGGAUGUUUGUCAUUCGUAUGUAGCUGUUCUCUCCUUGUAGCCUGUAAACUUUCUAUGGAUGUCACAAAAAGAGUUUUAAGGAUUUUGCUUAAAUUAAAAUUAAUACAUCAAGAAAAUACUAUGCCUCAAACAAAAAAUAAUCAGUUAAUUUAGUUUUUAGAAAUCUUUUACAAAAAACGUGAUAUUUAAUAAUCUUUAUGCAAGGAUUUUUGGGAUAUUAAAAUUGUCACAGAUUUAAUAAUACGUUUUAUUGUAUAAAAUUUUUCUUUUCUCUUCAAAGUGUUGGGAGAGUGAAUUCUCUAAGUAAAAACUGAAGAGUAAGAUGUUAUCAUUAAACAUUUCAGAAAAUGCACACUAUCGUAGACUGCGCACUGUGAAAAUGAUCAGCUAGUAGAGGUUUUGGUGAACAUAUAGUAACUUUUAUCAACAAGUAAUGUGAAUAUGUGAAAUCUAUUGCUUUUCCAAAAGAAAGAAACUUUUACACUUCUUGGUAAAGAUAAACUUUCAUGUAAGAAAAAAUAAAAACAUAAUUUUAGCAAUCCAAACCAUACUAAAAUCAUAAACACUUGACCACAUGUUUGAGUACCCCAAAAAUUGUUCCUGUGUGGAUUCUUCUUCUAGGAUGAUCAGUCCUCAUGGCCUUACUACUCUCCAUUUCUGUCCCACUGAGGUUAGCCAAAGUUCACUUGCCUUGUCAGUUAAGUUUCUAAAUCAGAUGAGUUAUGUUUUCUAUAAUUGAGUUAACCACAG